rnacentral:rRNA from 1 species
GAUGAACGCUGGCGGCGUGCCUAACACAUGCAAGUCGAGCGAACAGACGAGGAGCUUGUGCCUUUGCCGUUAGCGGGGGACGGGCGAGUAACACGUGGAUCACCUACCUAUAAUUCUGGGAUAACUACGGGAAACCGGUGCUAAUACCGGAGAAUAUAUUGAACCGCAUGGUGCAAUGGAGAAAGACGGCUUUGCUGACUCUAAUAGAUGGUUCCGCGCCGGAUUAGCUAGUUGGUAAGGUAACGGCCUACCAAGGCGACGAUGCGUAGCCGACCUGAGAGGGUGAUCGGCCACACUGGAACUGAGACACGGUCCAGACUCCUACGGGAGGCAGCAGUAGGGAAUCUUCCGCAAUGGGCGAAAGCCUGACGCAGCAACGCCGCGUGAGUGAUGAAGGUCUUCGGAUCGUAAAGCUCUGUUAUUGGGGAAGAACAGCUGUGUAAGUAACUAUGGACGUCUUGACGGUACCUAAUCAGAAAGCCACGGCUAACUACGUG